UCAGGACGAACGCUGGCGGCGUGCUUAACACAUGCAAGUCGGACGAUUUUUGUGGAUGCGGAUCUUUCGGGAGAAGCGUUCAUGGAGAUAGUGGCGGACGGGUGAGUAACGCGUGAAGUACCUGCCCUGGGGAGGGGGAUACCGUCUGGAAACGGACGUUAAUACCCCGUAAGCCGGGAGGUGAAAGGCCUGUAAGGGCUGCCCUGGGAGGGUUUCGCGUCCUAUCAGCUGGUUGGUGGGGUAACGGCUCACCAAGGCGAAGACGGGUAGCCGGUCUGAGAGGAUGGACGGCCACACUGGAACUGAGACACGGUCCAGACUCCUACGGGAGGCAGCAGUGGGGAAUAUUGGGCAAUGGGCGGAAGCCUGACCCAGCGACGCCGCGUGAGGGACGAAGGCCCUUGGGUUGUAAACCUCUGUUGUACGGGAAGAAGCGAGUGACGGUACCGUACGAGGAAGCCCCGGCAAACUACGUGCCAGCAGCCGCGGUAACACGUAGGGGGCGAGCGUUGUCCGGAAUUACUGGGCGUAAAGGGCACGCAGGCGGAUAUGUGUGUUUGUUGUGAAAUGCCAGGGCUCAACCCUGGAGUUGCGGCAGAAACUGCAUAUCUGGAGUACUGGAGA
rnacentral:rRNA from 1 species